AUUGAACGCUGGCGGCAGGCCUAACACAUGCAAGUCGAGCGCGCGGCGGACGCGUGAGUAAUGUCUGGGAAACCGCCUGAUGGAGGGGGAUAACUACUGGAAACGGUAGCUAAUACCGCAUACGCUCAGAUAUGCCCACAUGGGAUUAGCUAGGAGGUGGGGUAACGGCUCACCGAGGCGCCGAGCCCUCGCUGGUCUGAGAGGAUGACCAGCCACACUGGAACUGAGACACGGUCCAGACUCCUACGGGAGGCAGCAGUGGGGAAUAUUGCACAAUGGGCGCAAGCCUGAUGCAGCCAUGCCGCGUGUGUGAAGAAGGCCUUCGGGUUGUAAAGCACUUUCAGCGGGGAGGCGUUACCCGCAGAAGAAGCACCGGCUAACUCCGUGCCAGCAGCCGCGGUAAUUC
rnacentral:rRNA from 1 species